CUACGGGGUGCUCCAGUGAGGAAUAUUGGUCAAUGGGCGAAAGCCUGAACCAGCCAUGCCGCGUGAAGGAUGACGGCCCUAUGGGUUGUAAACUUCUUUUAUACGGGAAGAAACACCUCUACGUGUAGAGGUUUGACGGUACCGUACGAAUAAGCAUCGGCUAACUCCGUGCCAGCAGCCGCGGUAAUACGGAGGAUGCAAGCGUUAUCCGGAUUUAUUGGGUUUAAAGGGUACGUAGGCGGAAACUUAAGUCAGUAGUGAAAUCCCGCAGCUUAACUGUGGAACUGUUAUUGAUACUGGGUUUCUUGAAUAUUGUUGAGGUAGGCGGAAUAAGUAAUGUAGCGGUGAAAUGCUUAGAUAUUACUUAGAACACCGAUUGCGAAGGCAGCUUACUAAGCAAUUAUUGACGCUGAGGUACGAAAGCGUGGGGAGCGAACAGGAUUAGAUACCCUAGUAGUC
rnacentral:rRNA from 1 species